rnacentral:misc_RNA from 1 species
CCGAGUUUUUACAACUCCCAAACCCUUUGUGAACCUUACCAAUCGUUGCUUCGGCGGGAUCGCGCCGGCGCCUCUCCGCGCCGGAUCACCGCGCCCGCCGGGGGCCCGAAACUCUCGUCUUUCCAGUGGAAUCUCUCUGAGUGGCACAAGCAAAUGAAUCA